GGGACAAUGGGAUGGGGGGACAUUGGGGACAGUGGGGACACUGGGAUGGGGGGGACACUGGGGACAUUGGGAUGGGGGGGACAUUGGGGACAUUGGGGAUGGGGGAAUGUGGGAACACCGGGAAUGUGGGGAUGGGGGGGAUGAUGUCCCCAAGCAGUUCCAGGGGCCACCAUGGGGGACAAUGAACCCCACUGAGGGACACCAAUGGGCCAACAGAACAUUUAUAGGGCCACGUAACAACGCGAGCGACCCGACAUGAAGCCAAAGGAGGACAAUGGGUGGCGCUGAGUGACACCAAUGGCUCCCAAUGUCCCCAAGUAGUUCCCAGGGCCACCAGGAGGGACAAUGGACCCCAUUGAGGGACACCCAACGCCGAAGGUCACCCAAUGGGCCCCAAUACCACCUAUAGGGCCACGUAUCAACAUGAGCAUCCCAACAUGAAGCCAAAGGGGGACAAUGGAUGGCGUUGAGUGACGCCAAUGGCUCCCAAUGUCCCCACAGAGCUCUGAGUGCCAUCAGGAGGGACAACGGACCCCAUUGAGGGACACCCCACACCAAAGGCCACCCAAUGGGCCCCAAUACCACCUAUAGGGCCACAUAUCAACACGAGUGUCCCAACAUGAAGACAAAUGGAGACAAUGGAUGGCGUUGAGUGACGCCAAUGGCUCCCAAUGUCCCCAGGAGGGACUGAGUGGCACCAGGAGGGACAGUGGACCCCAUUGAGGGACACCCCACACCAAAGGUCACCCAAUGGGCCAACAGAACAUUUAUAGGGCCACGUAUCAACGCGAGCGACCCGACAUGAAGCCAAAGGAGGACAACGGGUGGCAUUGAGUGACACCAAUGGAUCCCAAUGUCCCCAGGAGGCGCUGAGUGCCACCAGGAGGGACAAUGGACCCCACUGAGUGACACCCAACACCGAAGGCCACCCAAUGGGCCCCAAUACCACCUAUAGGGCCACAUAUCAACACGAGUGUCCCAACAUGAAGCCAAAUGGAGACAAUGGAUGGUGUUGAGUGACACCAAUGGCUCCCAAUGUCCCCGCAGAGCUCUGAGUGCCAUCAGGAGGGACAAUGGACCCCAUUGAGGGACACCCAAUGCCAAAGGCCACCCAAUGGGCCCCAAUACCACCUAUAGGGCCACAUAUCAACACGAGCAUCCCAACAUGAAGACAACGGAGGGCAAUGGGUGGCGCUGAGUGACACCAAUGGGUCCCAAUGUCCCCAAGUAGUUCCCAAGGCCACCAGGAGGGACAAUGGACCCCAUUGAGGGACACCCCACACCAAAGGUCACCCAAUGGGCCAACAGAACGUUUAUAGGGCCACGUAACAACGCGAGCGACCCGACAUGAAGCCAAAGGAGGACAACUGGUGGCAUUGAGUGACACCAAUGGCUCCCAAUGUCCCCAGGAGGGACAAUGGACCCCAUUGAGGGACACCCAACGCCAAAGGUCACCCAAUGGGCCCCAAUACCACCUAUAGGGCCACAUAUCAACAUGAGCGUCCCGACAUGAAGCCAAAGGAGGACAACUGGUUGCGUUGAGUGACACCAAUGGCUCCCAAUGUCCCCAAGUAGUUCCCAGGGACACCAUGAGUGACAAUGGACCCCAUUGAGGGACACCCAACGCUGAAGGUCACCCAAUGGGCCAACAGAACAUUUAUAGGGCCACGUAACAACGCGAGCGACCCGACAUGAAGCCAAAGGAGGACAAUGGGUGGCGCUGAGUGACACCAAUGGCUCCCAAUGUCCCCAAGAGGGACAAUGGACCCCAUUGAGGGACACCCAACGUUGAAGGUCACCCAAUGGGCCCCAAUACCACCUAUAGGGCCACAUAUCAACACGAGCAUCCCAACAUGAAGACAACGGAGGGCAAUGGGUGGCGCUGAGUGACACCAAUGGCUCCCAAUGUCCCCACAGAGCUCUGAGUGCCAUCAGGAGGGACAACGGACCCCAUUGAGUGACACCCAACGCCAAAGGCCACCCAAUGGGCCAAGAAAACAUUUAUAGGGCCACGUAACAACGCGAGCGACCCGACAUGAAGCCAAAGGGGGACAAUGGGUGGCACUGAGUGACACCAAUGGCUCCCAAUGUCCCCAGGAGGGACAAUGGACCCCAUUAAGGGACACCCAACGUUGUUGGACAACCCA
ensembl:lncRNA